rnacentral:rRNA from 1 species
AUUGAACGCUGGCGGCAUGCCUUACACAUGCAAGUCGAACGGUAACGCGGGGCAACCUGGCGACGAGUGGCGAACGGGUGAGUAAUGUAUCGGAACGUGCCCAGUUGUGGGGGAUAACUGCUCGAAAGAGCAGCUAAUACCGCAUACGACCUGAGGGUGAAAGCGGGGGAUCGCAAGACCUCGCGCAAUUGGAGCGGCCGAUAUCAGAUUAGGUAGUUGGGGGGGUAAAGGCCCACCAAGCCAACGAUCUGUAGCUGGUCUGAGAGGACGACCAGCAACACUGGGACUGAGACACGGCCCAGACUCCUACGGGAGGCCGCAGUGGGGAAUUUUGGACAAUGGACGCAAGUCUGAUCCAGCCAUGCCGCGUGCGGGAAGAAGGCCUUCGGGUUGUAAACCGCUUUUGUCAGGGAAGAAACGCUCUGGGUUAAUACCUCGGGGUAAUGACGGUACCUGAAGAAUAAGCGCCGGCUAACUACGUGCCAGCCGCCGCCGUAAAAC